AUACGUACCGUACGAACAUUAUUCGGAAUCACUGGGCUUAAAGGGUGCGUAGGCGGCGUGGUCAGUUGGGUGUGAAAUCCCUCGGCUCAACCGAGGAACUGCGCCCAAUACUGCCACACUCGAGGGAGACAGAGGUAAGCGGAACUGAUGGUGGAGCGGUGAAAUGCGUUGAUAUCAUCAGGAACACCAGUGGCGAAAGCGGCUUACUGGGUCUCUUCUGACGCUGAGGCACGAAAGCUAGGGUAGCGAACGGGAUUAGAAACCCCAGUAGUCC
rnacentral:rRNA from 1 species